AGUAACGCGUGAGUAACCUGCCUUCAAGAGGGGGAUAACAUUCUGAAAAGAAUGCUAAUACCGCAUGACAUAUCGGAACCACAUGGUUUUGAUAUCAAAGAUUUUAUCGCUUGAAGAUGGACUCGCGUCCGAUUAGUUAGUUGGUGAGGUAACGGCUCACCAAGGCGACGAUCGGUAGCCGAACUGAGAGGUUGAACGGCCACAUUGGGACUGAGACACGGCCCAGACUCCUACGGGAGGCAGCAUG
rnacentral:rRNA from 1 species